rnacentral:pre_miRNA from 1 species
CAUGCACUGGUGGGGUCCCUCGGCCUGGCCUGUGCCCUCUUGCAAUGUAGGACCCCUCAGGGGAUGUUGGAGAGCCGGUUUUGGUCUGAUCCCCGCAGGCCAGGCCGAGGGACCCCACCAGUGCCAU